UGAAAGAGGUAUGUAACUGUAGGUGGAGUGAAAGAGGUAUGUGACUGUAGGUGGAGGUAAAGAGGUAUGUGACUGUAGGUGGAGGUAAAGAGGUAUGUAACUGUAGGUGGAGUGAAAGAGGUAUGUAACUGUAGGUGGAGUGAAAGAGGUAUGUAACUGUAGGUGGAGUGAGAGGUAUGUAACUGUAGGUGGAGGUAAAGAGGUAUGUAACUGUAGGUGGAGUGAAAGAGGUAUGUGACUGUAGGUGGAGGUAAAGAGGUAUGUGACUGUAGGUGGAGUGAAAGAGGUAUGUAACUGUAGGUGGAGUGAAAGAGGUAUGUAACUGUAGGUGGAGUGAAAGAGGUAUGUAACUGUAGGUGGAGGUAAAGAGGUAUGUAACUGUAGGUGGAGUGAAAGAGGUAUGUAACUGUAGGUGGAGUGAAAGAGGUAUGUGACUGUAGGUGGAGUGAG